GCCAGAGGGGGCAGAAGUGAGAAGGUAUAGGUUCGGUUCUGGAAUAACCGGGACGUUCGCAGAGGUAGGCGGACGUUGCAACUUGAGGCCUCUGCAGACUGUCGAGCUGCCACGACCUGUCGCUCUCCACAGCUUGUAGAGAGAAAGCCGGCCUCCGGGAUGCGAUUCAGUGUCAGAGAGUAACAGUUUAGAAGGCCAAGAUGUCUAAUUUGAGGAUAUUUGCAGUGAAUCAUAAGAAAAUAUCUAGCUUGCACAUUAAUAAUAUGUAUUGCUCUAGAAUUACAUCAAGUUUAAAAAGAAUAAAGACACACGUGCCUCUUGGAAGAAAUUACAGUUCCCUGCCAGGUUUAAUAGGAAAUGAUAUCAAAUCUCUUCAUUCCGUCAUCAGUCCCCCUGUAGCUAAGAUCCGUAAUAUUGGAAUUAUGGCUCAUAUCGAUGCAGGCAAAACUACCACCACAGAAAGAAUACUGUACUAUUCUGGAUACACAAGAUCAUUGGGAGAUGUUGAUGACGGAGACACGGUGACAGAUUUCAUGGCUCAAGAGCGAGAGAGAGGCAUUACUAUUCAGUCAGCUGCGGUUACGUUUGACUGGAAGGGGUACAGAGUCAACCUCAUUGACACACCAGGUCAUGUGGACUUUACUUUGGAGGUCGAGCGCUGCCUAAGAGUGUUAGAUGGUGCGGUGGCUGUAUUUGAUGCCUCUGCUGGUGUAGAGGCACAAACUCUCACCGUAUGGAGGCAAGCUGAUAAACACCAGAUACCUCGAAUCUGUUUUUUAAACAAGAUGGACAAAACUGGAGCAAGUUUUAACUAUGCAGUUGAAAGCAUCAGAGAGAAGUUGAAGGCAAAGCCUUUGCUUUUACAGUUACCAAUUGGUGAAGCCAAAAAUUUCAAAGGAGUGGUGGAUGUAGUAAGGAAAGAAAAGCUCCUUUGGAAUUCCAAUUCAGAUGAUGGAAAAGACUUUGAGAGAAAACCCCUCUUGGAAAUGAGUGAUCCUGAAUUGCUGAAGGAGGCAACUGAAGCAAGGAAUGCCUUAAUUGAACAAGUUGCAGAUUUGGAUGAUGAAUUUGCUGACUUGGUUUUAGGAGAAUUUAGUGAAAAUUUUGAUCUGGUACCAGAUGAAAAGCUACAGACUGCAAUCCACAGAGUAACCCUGGCGCGGAUGGCAGUGCCUGUGCUUUGUGGGAGCGCCCUGAAAAACAAAGGGGUCCAGCCCUUGUUAGAUGCCGUUACUAUGUAUUUGCCUUCACCCGAAGAGCGCAACUAUGAAUUUCUGCAGUGGUACAAGGAUGACUUAUGUGCACUGGCAUUCAAAGUUCUCCAUGACAAGCAGCGGGGACCACUGGUUUUUAUGCGCAUUUACUCAGGCGUGAUAAAACCCCAGUCGGCCAUCCAUAAUAUUAAUGGAAACUGCACGGAGAGAAUAAGUCGUCUACUUUUGCCAUUUGCUGACCAACAUGUAGAAAUCCCUUCACUGACUGCUGGCAACAUUGCUUUGACUGUUGGACUUAAACAUACAGCCACUGGAGACACCAUCGUCUCAUCCAAGUCCAGCGCAUUGGCUGCAGCUCGUCGAGCCGGAAGGGAAGGGGAAAAGAAGCAUGAACAAAACAGUGAGGCAGAGAGACUCUUACUGGCUGGGGUGGAGAUUCCAGAACCUGUGUUCUUCUGUACCAUAGAACCUCCUUCGGUGGCUAAGCAGCCAGAUUUGGAUCAUGCAUUGAAGUGCCUUCAGCGUGAAGAUCCCAGUUUGAAAGUGAAGCUUGAUCCUGACUCUGGACAGACUGUCCUAUGUGGAAUGGGGGAGUUACAUAUUGAGAUUAUUCAUGACCGCAUCAAGAGGGAAUACGGCCUGGAAACCUACCUGGGGCCUCUUCAGGUGGCAUACCGAGAGACCAUCCUAAAUCCAGUUCGUGCCACAGAUACCUUAGAUAGAACUUUAGGAGACAAACGGCAUCUUGUGACUGUGGAACUGGAAGUAAAACCAAUGGAAACAUCAUCUGUUACACCAGUUAUUGAGUAUGCUGAAAGUGUUAGUGAAGACAUUUUGAAGGCCUCCCGCGAGGCCAUUGAGAAUGGAAUUCACAGUGCAUGCCUCCAAGGACCAUUGCUUGGAUCUCCAGUUCAAGAUGUGGCAAUUACUUUACAUUCACUGAUAAUUCAUCCUGGUACCUCCUCAACUAUGAUUUCUGCCUGUGUCUCAAGAUGUAUACAAAAGGCUCUGAAGAAAGCUGAUAAGCAAGUCUUAGAGCCCCUGAUGAAUCUUGAGGUUACAGUGACUAGAGAUUACCUGAGCCCUGUCCUGGCAGAUCUGGCACAAAGACGAGGGAACAUUCAGGAAAUCCAGACUCGUCAGGACAACAGAGUUGUUAUUGGAUUUGUUCCCUUAGCAGAAAUUAUGGGUUAUUCAACUGUGCUUCGGACGCUAACAUCGGGCUCAGCUACCUUUGCCCUAGAACUGUCUAAUUAUCAAGCCAUGAACCCUCAAGACCAAAGUACACUGCUCAGCCGUAGAAGUGGAUUGACCUAAGUGCUUCUAGGUCCUUGGACAGAAAUUGAGGAGCACCUACCUAUUCGUUAUCAGUGUAGCACUGAAGGAAAAUGAAGUUAUUUUUUCAAAGAGCUGUACUACUGAGAAAUCUCAUCUAUGCCAAAAGGAUGAGGAGAUGUCCUUCACUGUCUGCGGGGCUGUGUAAGGACGAAGAUCGCACUCUGUUAUGCACAUCGUCCUCCCUAUUGUUACGCCCGGCCCACCAGUCAGCUCUCUGCGCUACUCCGUAUGGCCCGUGUCCUCACAGUGCUCCUCUUUCAUCCCCUGGUUCAGUUCGUCACUGUCCUGGGCCAGUGCACCCCAUGGAAAAGGCCUGCCCACUUGUUCAUUCCUUCCAGCAAACUAGGGGAGAACCUUAGAAAAUGUUCGAGGCAACAAAAAAAUCAUGUAGCUAAAUCUUGAUUAUAUUAUUGAGCAAGUGAAAUAGCUGCCCCACCUCGGGUUUUGCAUUACCUUGUGUGAGAUUAGAUUAUAAGUAGAGAUCACACAUAUAAGCACAGAUAUGUCGUCAAAAUAAAAGUCAAGAAAUUACCUAGAUGUCCAAAAAUAAGAGGUUAGCCAAGUUAGUUAUGGCACACCCAGGCAAAAGUAUUUAGUGAGAUACAUGUUUAUAAUGUACAAUAUUAUUACUUUAAAAAAGCAAAAUACAAAACCAUGCAUAUAGAAUUAACCCCAUUUUCAUGUUAUUAUCAUGCUUAUAUUUAUAUAUGUAAAAUAUUUAAACUUACUGCUCUUUUUAAAAAUCUGAAAUAGCCAGGGUUAACUGAGUGCUAGAAUUAUGAGUAAUUUAUUUCUUCCUCUCCACUUACUGUACUUUUACCAUCAGACUUUAAUGGUAAUUUAAAAAACAGGAAUUAAAAACUCACUAGCCAAGAACUCACAAUAGUUUAUGGCACAGAGACUGCUUUGGGCACUUCAGUCUGCAACAGCUUUUGA